CCGGAGGGGCUCACUGGAGGAUGAAGCAGGAGUCAGCCUGGCAAGGAAGCAGGAAAUGAGAACCCACCUCAGGCGACAGACACCCCAGACUUGCAAGAAGAAGACGAGUUCUGGUCAAAGAGCGGACUUUAUUUUUCACCCUCCGUGCUUCCAAGCCUGGUGCCUGUUCUCCCAUCAGCAAGAUUUCCACUCUCUCUGAAGACCCUGGCUGAAUUGCUCAUCCCAUGGAAUCGUGAGCCAAUUGAGUGAAAUGAUACGAAAAGCAACUUUCAGCAUCUCGGGCACUCGGCAGGUGCAGCUUCACCAGUAGUUUCUUCCCAGCCGCAUCUGUCCUCCUCUGGAUCUGGGCUCGGGAGCUGGUCCAGGAGCUGGGAGCUGGGCAGGGAGGGUGUUGGGGAUCCAGUCAUGUCCCCUGCAAAAGGCUUAAGUCUUAAUUGGUGAUCCUGUGGGUGUGAACCCACUUGAAGCCAUUACGUUUAGUUAAGGUGUGGACUCGUUUGUGAGCAGAAUGCUUGAAGAUCCCUGUAGAUGAGGCCAAACUGAACCAGGGUGGCCUCCAUCCACGUGACGGGAGACCUCACAGGGCAGAGGAAAUUCUGAUGCAGGAGUGGGAGAAAGCCACGGGAGGAGGCCCAGGAGCCUGAUGGCCGAAAUGCAAGCCAAGCA